rnacentral:rRNA from 1 species
AUUGAACGCUAGCGGGAUGCUUUACACAUGCAAGUCGAACGAGUGGCGGACGGGUGAGUAAUGUAUCGGAACGUGCCCGGUAGCGGGGGAUAACUACUCGAAACAGUGGCUAAUACCGCAUACUAUUGGAGCUGCCGAGAUUGGAUUAGCUAGUUGGUGGGGUAAAGGCUCACCAAGGCAACGAUCCGUAGCUGGUUUGAGAGGAGGACCAGCCACACUGGGACUGAGACACGGCCCAGACUCCUACGGGAGGCAGCAGUGGGGAAUAUUGGACAAUGGGGGAAACCCUGAUGCAGCCAUCCCGCGUGUAUGAGAAGGCCUUCGGGUUGUAAAGUACUUUUGGCAGGGAAGCGUUAUCUGCAGAAUAAGCACCGGCUAACUACGUGCCAGCAGCCGCGGUAAUUC